rnacentral:rRNA from 1 species
CUUGGUGGUCAUGGCACCUGUGACCCACCCGAUCCCAUCUCGAACUCGGCCGUGAAACCAGGUAGCGCCGAUGGUACUGUGUCCUAAGGCACGGAAGAGUAGGUCGCCGCCAGGC